rnacentral:rRNA from 1 species
UCUAAGGCGCUUGAGAGAACUCAGGAGAAGGAACUCGGCAAAUUGACACCGUAACUUCGGAAGAAGGUGUGCCCUAUUAGUGUGAAGUGAACAACGGAGCAUGAAUGGGUUGCAAAAAAUCGGUGGCUGCGACUGUUUAUUAAAAACACAGCACUCUGCAAACACGAAAGUGGACGUAUAGGGUGUGACGCCUGCCCGGUGCUGGAAGAUUAAAUGAUGGGGUGCAAGCUCUUGAUUGAAGUCCCAGUAAACGGCGGCCGUAACAAUAACGGUCCUAAGGUAGCGAAAUUCCUUGUCGGGUAAGUUCCGACCUGCACGAAUGGCGUAGCGAUGGCCACACUGUCUCCUCCUGAGACUCAGCGAAGUUGAAAUGUUUGUGAUGAUGCAAUCUCCCCGCGGAAAGACGGAAAGACCCCAUGAACCUUUACUGUAGCUUUGUAUUGGACUUUGAACAGAUCUGUGUAGGAUAGGUGGGAGGCUUUGAAGCAGGGUCGCUAGAUCUUGUGGAGCCAACGUUGAAAUACCACCCUGGUGUGUUUGAGGUUCUAACCUAGGUCCAUUAUCUGGAUCGGGGACAGUGCAUGGUAGGCAGUUCGACUGGGGCGGUCUCCUCCCAAAGCGUAACGGAGGAGUUCGGAGGUACGCUAGUUACGGUCGGACAUCGUGACGAUAGUGCAAUGGCAUAAGCGUGCUUAACUGCGAGACUGACAAGUCGAGCAGAUGCGAAAGCAGGACAUAGUGAUCCGGUGGUUCUGUAUGGAAGGGCCAUCGCUCAACGGAUAAAAGGUACUCUGGGGAUAACAGGCUGAUACCGCCCAAGAGUUCAUAUCGACGGCGGUGUUUGGCACCUCGAUGUCGGCUCAUCUCAUCCUGGGGCUGUAGCCGGUCCCAAGGGUAUGGCUGUUCGCCAUUUAAAGAGGUACGUGAGCUGGGUUUAAAACGUCGUGAGACAGUUUGAUCCCUAUCUUCCGUGGGCGCUGCAGAUUUGAGGAAGCCUGCUCCUAGUACGAGAGGACCGGAGUGGACACACCUCUGGUGUAUCGGUUGUCACGCCAGUGGCAUUGCCGAGUAGCUAAGUGUGGAAGAGAUAACCGCUGAAAGCAUCUAAGCGGGAAACUCGUUUCAAGAUGAGAUCUGCCGGGGCCUUGAGCCCCCUGAAGAGUCGUUCAAGACCAGGACGUUGAUAGGUCAGGUGUGGAAGCCAAAAA